rnacentral:rRNA from 1 species
AGCGGCGGACGGGUGAGUAAUGUCUGGGAAACUGCCUGAUGGAGGGGGAUAACUACUGGAAACGGUAGCUAAUACCGCAUAACGUCGCAAGACCAAAGAGGGGGACCUUCGGGCCUCUUGCCAUCAGAUGUGCCCAGAUGGGAUUAGCUAGUAGGUGGGGUAACGGCUCACCUAGGCGACGAUCCCUAGCUGGUCUGAGAGGAUGACCAGCCACACUGGAACUGAGACACGGUCCAGACUCCUACGGGAGGCAGCAGUGGGGAAUAUUGCACAAUGGGCGCAAGCCUGAUGCAGCCAUGCCGCGUGUAUGAAGAAGGCCUUCGGGUUGUAAAGUACUUUCAGCGGGGAGGAAGGCGAUAAGGUUAAUAACCUUGUCGAUUGACGUUACCCGCAGAAGAAGCACCGGCUAACUCCGUGCCAGCAGCCGCGGUAAU